rnacentral:rRNA from 1 species
AUUGAACGCUGGCGGCAGGCCUAAUACAUGCAAGUCGAACGAGACGCGGACGGGUGAGUAAUGUCGGGGAAACUGCCUGAUGGAGGGGGAUAACUAGUGGAAACGGUAGCUAAUACCGCAAACCAUCGGAUGUGCCCUGAUGGGAUUAGCUAGUAGGUGGGGUAUAGGCUAACCUAGGCGACGAUCCCUAGCUGGUCUGAGAGGCUGACCAGCCACACUGGAACUGAGACACGGCCCAGACUCCUACGGGAGGCAGCAGUGGGGAAUAUUGCACAAUGGGCGCAAGCCUGAUGCAGCCAUGCCGCGUGUAUGAAGAAGGCCUUCGGGUUGUAAAGUACUUUCAGCGGGGAGGCGUUACCCGCAGAAGAAGCACCGGCUAACUCCGUGCCAGCAGCCGCGGUAAUAC